CCCAGGGUGACAGCUGGUGUCUCCCGUCUGCAUCCACGACUGGGGGCCCCGGGAGACCCUGGCGACCCCCGAGGGAGGCCCCUGUGGGCGCUGACCCCAGGGACGAGACGGAGCUGGCCGCGCAGCGAGCCUUAUCAGGGCCUUUGCCUCCGCAGCGACCUGGUGGCCGCGGUCCCCUGGAGACCUGCGUCCCGGGCGCGUCCCCUGUGGACAUCGAGCGCGAGACGACAGCUGCGUCCCCAAGUCGCCGCCGCGGAGCCAGGUCCAGUCAUGGCGGCUCUGUGGGCGUCAGCGUGGCUCUUGAUGCUCCUCCGUCCGGCGCUGGGUGAAGGGCAGCAGCCCCUGGCCGGGGACAAGGCCUCUCCUGUCGUCAACCUGAAGCUCGAUGCGCGGAAGAAACUGCUGACGUGGCGUUACAGCCGAGAGGUGACCCAGCACUCCUGCAGGAUCGUCACCCCCCUGGCCCCGGCCACCAGCACCACCCCUCGGGUGACCGCUGACCUCGCCUACAGGUGCGCCUUCC
rnacentral:lncRNA from 1 species